ensembl:snRNA U6 U6 spliceosomal RNA
AUGCUUAAGCAUCACACAUUCUAAAACUGUAAUGAUACAGAGAAGAUUGGCUGGUCCCUCACAUGAGGACUGUGUGGAAAAUUUGGAAGCAUCCCAGUUUGCU